GAUGAAGAACGUAGUGAAAUGCGAUACUUGGUGUGAAUUGCAGAAUCCCGUGAACCAUCGAGUCUUUGAACGCAAGUUGCGCCCGAAGCCAUUAGGCCGAGGGCACGCCUGCCUGGGCGUCACACGUCGUUGCCCCCCCAUCUACUCCUUCGGGAUUGCGGGGGGCGGAUGAUGGCCUCCCGUGCGCCUCGCCGCGCGGUUGGCAUAAAUGCCAAGUCCUCGGCGACGCACGCCACGACAAUCGGUGGUUGCGAAACCUCGGUUGCCCGUCGUGUGCGGUCGUCGCGCAUCGCGGGCUCGAAAAAAUUGCCGGGUUCCGGCUCGGCUUUCAACGCGACCCCAGGUCAGGCGGGGUUACCCGCUGAAUUUAAGCAUAUCAAUAAGCGGAGGA
rnacentral:misc_RNA from 1 species